rnacentral:misc_RNA from 1 species
GAUGAAGAACGUAGCGAAAUGCGAUACGUAAUGUGAAUUGCAGAUUUCAGUGAAUCAUCGAAUCUUUGAACGCACAUUGCGCCCGCUAGUAUUCUAGUGGGCAUGCCUGUUCGAGCGUCAUUAAGUCCACUUAAGCCCUGCUUAGUGUUGGGAGACUGCUCCAGCGGUGCUACCCUGUAGCUACCCUGCAGCUCCUCAAAGACAGCGGCGGAGUUGUGGUAUCCUCUGAGCUUAGUAACUUGUUCUAGCUUUCGAGUACACCACUUCCCCUGCCGUAAAACCCUUAAUUUUUAAUGGUUGACCUCGGAUCAGGUAGGAAUACCCGCUGAACUUAAGCAUAUCAAUAAGCGGAGGA